GGAAGGAUCAUUAAAUGUAAACUGACCCUUUAAACCCUUCUGUGUACUUUACCUGUUAUUGGAUGAUGGAAUUAGUAAAAUAUUCCAUAGAACAAAAAAUCUAAACUAUUAUUCAUAAUGAUAUUUGUCUGAUUUUGUAUAAAUAAAAGUUAAAACUUUCAACAACGGAUCUCUUGGUUCUCGCAUCGAUGAAGAACGCAGCGAAAUGCGAUAAGUAGUGUGAAUUGCAGAAUUCAGUGAAUCAUCGAAUCUUUGAACGCACAUUGCGCCUUCUGGUAUUCUGGAAGGCAUGCCUGUUUGAGCGUCAUUAAACUUAACUCUAGCAGUUUUGCUUGGAUAUGAAGGAAGAGCACAUUGGGAGGCUCUCCUUUGAAAUGCAUUAGUAGAUAUAAAGUUGUGAAUUACACUUGUUUUGAUGUAAUAGUCUUUAUUAGUUGUGAUUUGUAUACAGCUAUAUCUUGCUUUAACAAUUUUGUUUUUUUCUGGGCAGUUGAUUAUAAGAGUCAUAUGAAUCUUAUUUUAAAACACCUGCAAAAAAAUAUAAUUUUAUAGUUGACCUCAAAUCAGGUAGGGAUACCCGCUGAACUUAAGCAUAUC
rnacentral:misc_RNA from 1 species